rnacentral:sRNA from 1 species
GCUGGGUAUGAUGGCGCAUGCCUGUAAUCCUAGCAGCUUGGGAGGCUGAGGCAGGAGGAUUGUGAGUUCAAAGCCACCCUCAGCAAUGGUGAGGCUCUAAGCAACUCAGUGAGACCCUGGCUCUC